UACAGAGGUCUCAACCGUUGUUCGGAUUCAUUGGGCGUAAAGGGUGCGUAGGCGGUCGCGUAAGUCGGAUGUGAAAUCUCAGGGCUCAACCCUGAAACUGCAUUCGAUACUGCGUGGCUAGGGUACUGGAGAGGAGACUGGAAUUUACGGUGUAGCAGUGAAAUGCGUAGAUAUCGUAAGGAAGACCAGUGGCGAAGGCGAGUCUCUGGACAGUUACCGACGCUGAGGCACGAAGGUCAGGGGAGCAAACGGGAUUAGAAACCCCCGUGUAUC
rnacentral:rRNA from 1 species